UAAAAUAUAAAAGAUUAAAAUAAAAUAAAGUUUUAUUUUUAUUCUCUCUCCCUCCCUCUUAAACGGCACCCAACCUCCGUUCUUCUCUCGUUUCUCCUCAUACCGCCAGCCAUCCCUACUCUGUCGCCCAGCCGCCUCGCCUCUUUAGCUGACCAGCCACACGCUUCCACGAGCUGCCACUUCGCGGCCUAGCCAGCAGCCACCCCUCGCGCCAGACAUGUCCACCAAUUGGAGUCGCCCAACCUUGCGCCAGACGCCAAUCACUGACCCAAUCGCGACCGUCCACCAUUUGAUGCCAUCCAACCAGCCACGCCAAAUCUGUCGACUCCAGCUACUAUCGGUGCUCAUUCCCCCGCUAGUUAGCCGUGCCACCGGUGUCCCAGAUUUGGCCAGCAACUGCCCUCAACCACAUCCACCGAUUUCAUACUCCACCAUCGCCAUUCCUUUGGAUUCUCGCCGGAUCGUGGAGUUGGGUGAAAUUUUGGAUUUAAGUUUGGGAAACGGUUGAAGUGGCUAUCCAGCGGGUUUGAGAUUGUUUCGGCAAGUGUUUUGGAGGGAUCCAAAUCUUUCCAAAAUUUUAAGGAGAUUAAUUUCGUGGACCUUUAUUUGUGACCAAAUUUGGGGUAAGGGUAAGGAUACAUCGGCGAAUGACAAGCAGAAUAUAUGAUCAAGCCACUGGGACCAGUCAUAUGCUUCCGCUUAUGUUUUCAGGAUUUUUAUGUUUUUAAUUUGUAUUAUUGAUAUUUGAACUAAAAAAUUUGGUAUUUGCACUUUAGACUAUUAAGAAAAUUUUCUUUUUUUUUUU